UACGAGGGGGGCGAGCGUUAAUCGGAAUUACUGGGCGUAAAGCGUGCGCAGGCGGUAAGUUAAGUCUGAUGUGAAAGCCCCGGGCUCAACCUGGGAAUGGCAUUGGAAACUGGCUUGCUGGAGUGUGGCAGAGGGGGGUGGAAUUCCGCGUGUAGCAGUGAAAUGCGUAGAGAUGCGGAGGAACACCGAUGGCGAAGGCAGCCCCCUGGGCCAACACUGACGCUCAGGCACGAAAGCGUGGGGAGCAAACAGG
rnacentral:rRNA from 1 species